rnacentral:rRNA from 1 species
CUUUCCCUCUUUCCUCCUGCCUUACACAUGCAAGUCGAACGGUAACAGGUCUUCGGAUGCUGACGAGUGGCGCACGGGUGAGUAAUACAUCGGAACGUGCCCGAUCGUGGGGGAUAACGGAGCGAAAGCUUUGCUAAUACCGCAUACGAUCUACGGAUGAGAGCAGGGGACCGCAAGGACUUUCGCGGACUGAGCGGCCGAUGGCAGAUUAGGUAGUUGGUGGGAUAAAAGCUUACCAAGCCGACGAUCUGUCGCUGGUCUGAGAGGACGACCAGCCACACUGGGACUGAGACACGGCCCAGACUCCUACGGGAGGCAGCAGUGGGGAAUUUUGGACAAUGGGCGAAAGCCUGAUCCAGCCAUGCCGCGUGCAGGAUGAAGGCCUUCGGGUUGUAAACUGCUUUUGUACGGAACGAAAAGACUCUUUCUAAUAAAGAGGGUCCAUGACGGUACCGUAAGAAUAAGCACCGGCUAACUACGUG